GUUUGCACUCAUGACCACUAACUACAUAGUCACAAUUGUAUAAACGCCCACUUUACAAAAAUAGCCAUUUUUUCAAAUCCGGCAAAGUGGUCAGAUUCACAAGGAUAUCACUACAACAUUCCUAGAAACAUAUAUUGGCAGUGUAAUUUCAACAACUAAAACGAAAUCAUGCUAUGUGCCAUACCCCUAAAGUCAUUCAUCGCAUACUUAACAUUGUUACUCGGAUACAAUAGCUUGAAAACGUACUGAAAAAUCCAUAAACGACUUGCAUAUCACACUCAAAAACCCACAACUCGAUAUUCAAGUAUUAUAAAGGACUAUAUUCACAUUAUUACAUGCUUGAUACAUAACAAUAACAUCCAAGCUCUUUUGCUGUCAAACUUUCAUCACAUCAAACACGUUUAAAUAGUGCAGCAUGUUCAAGUUGUUCCUAUUGCUGAGAAGAUAUACAUUGCGAGUCUUAAAGGAUUACCUAGAUAGCAGAAAAAUAAACAGUAGUGAAGUGAGAAGAAACAACAACAGAAAUAACAUAAAAAAUAGCAACAACCAGCAACAAAUCAGUGUUAGAAGCAGCCCAGAAAAUCCCGCGAAGACAUUUGAAACUAGUAACUAACAAACUUAGAACUUAGCCAAACGAUUGCUCUAUUUUCUUAUUGAUUUUGCACUCUAGGAGUCACUCACAAAUCACACAAAUUUAAGCUUACUAAAGUAUUCAGCUGCUGAUUUUUUGUUCAAAGAUGUGUGUUCAAGCAACUCUCAAGAUGUUUUCUUCCCCUUCUUUUCUAAGUGAUAGAGCGUGUGUCUUUUAUAGGAGAAGAAACCAGGCAUUCAUGAUUAAAAAUCAGUCUUUUUUUUACAGAUGUUUCCACAAAAUCUGCUCUAAAAUUCAAAGGGCAUAUUUUCUUACCAAACAAAUGACUUUUGAGUUUUGUACUCAAAAAAUCUCCGAAGCAGUAAAUAAACAAUAAAACAAGUACCCUAUAAUUUCACGUAUUCCUUCACUACCUCACUUUUAUCAAUACAAAACUAUUCUACUACUUCAACAAAUGCAAAAAAAAAAUAAAAAAAAUAAAAAAUUUUUAGCUUUUCAAACUUUAAAAACUAAUGCUAAAAUAAUUAAUAAGAGACAAAAUAAAAUCUGGAAAAAAAAAAUCAGCCAUGAAAACAAAGAGAAAAAAAAUAAGCAUUUUUACCAUUUCACAAUUUAAGUGGCCGAAACAAUGGUGGUAUGCCUAGCGAGGGCAUUUGGGGAGGUCACCGGAAUUUGGCCGGAUUUUUGGUCGCCGGAUUUUCGGUGCGGAAUUGACAUCAAUAGGUAGGUCUUGAGGAGCUCUAUCCGUUGAUAUAAGUAUUGUAGGGUGGUAAUGGACGGAGCUUCAAGAAUUUGGGUAAAGAAGUGGCGGCUAAAGUAUUCUAGAUCUAAAAUUCAAAGAGUUUGAGGGGUUUUUGAAGGAAUUGGUUUGGAGAUAUUGAAAGAGGAGGUUGUGAAGAUUACAUAGUGUGAAUUUGGGGGUGUUUGGAGGUGGUUCGCCGCCGAUGGGUGAUUUCCGACAGCGGCGACGACGGAGAGAAGAGAAAGAAGAGAGAGAAAAGAGAGAGAGAUGAGUGAGGAAGAAGAAAGAAAUUAUGGGGGAAAUGGGGGCAAAAUUUCAGCAUUUCUAAGUCUUAAAUACC
rnacentral:lncRNA from 1 species